CCACGUUAAAAUCUGACAAAUAGGAAUAAAUAGCUGCUCAGUUAAAAUCUGAAUAAAAAGGAAUAAAUAGCUGCUCAGUUAAAAUCUGAAUAAAUAGGAAUAAAUACUUGCCCAUGUUAAAAUCUGACAUAAAUAAGAAUAAAUAGCGGAUUAAAAGUCUGAACAGAGAAUAACGUCGCUGCCCCUUUAAGGAACCAGCGUCACAGACGCGACGCCUGGGUGACGCUGCGGUGCACAAACCAGAGGGAGAGAGCAGAGGAGGAAUCGGAGGAAAAGAGCAGUUGAUUGAUUAACGGAAAAAAAAAGUUAAUAUUAUAGUUAAGAAGACAUAAUUUACCUGGUCGGAAACUGACUGGGAUUUUAUGAGAACUGAGUUACAUCGGUUUUGGUCAGGUUUUUUUGUUCGGUUGGAAGCUCGGUCGGAGCGAAGAUUGGUCUGCCGUGUGCGACGUCCACAUUCACAGACGGGAUUCAAGAUGGCGAGCCAGACCUAGACCUUCAAUUCAUCUUCUCCAUCAUAUCAGGGAGGGACUCUCCUGCGUAUGAUAAUUUGCUGCCGGAGCGGUAGGAACUUCAGGAACUGGUUCAAACCGAACUGAACAGGAUUAAGAACUGAUUUAAGAACUGGUGAAAUUAUCAUUAUUUUUCUGGACUGAAUCAAAACUGAAGCUUUUCAUUGAACUGAGAACCUGAAUUCACAUUUGGACUUGAACUCGAGUUUAAAGUGGCAUACUUGGCUUUUCAUAUGUUAUGUCUCUGAAUGUGAAUUGAAUAAUUGUGGUCCACUUUGAUUUGUUUGAAGGUAUUUCCUUACCUGUGAAAGAAAAAAAAAAGCGAGUUAACUCAGAGAAAAAAUAGGAAUCCUAAAAUAGGUGCAACCUAAGAAAAGGAGACUGGUCUAACUAACUUAAAUUAGUUUGACUAAAAUAACCUAGGAAAAAGAGACUGGUCUAACUAAAUUAGAUUAGUUUUACUGAAAUAAGCUAGGUGAACUAGUGAGUAAAAAGAAGUGAUACAUUUUUCUUUUUCUUCUUUUUUUAGGGGGGUUUUGUGUAUUGUGUUUCAUGUGUGUUUUGCAUUCAGUAAAUUGCCGGCUUUUUGCAUUUAAA